CCCCGCCGCCCCGAGCCCAGGCCGGCGGCGGCCCGGCCCCGCGAGCUGCCAUUCUCUCGCGCCUCUUGACCAGGGCAGGGCUGCCUCCGUCGCUCCCGGGGCUCGGAGCUCCCCGCGGGCGCUCAGUGGGGCGGCGGGUCCCUGCGGUGGUAGGAGCCGGCCUGAGCAUUGCGCCCGAGAGCCUCAGCCCUCUCACUUGGAAGUCACCCAGCCAACGGCCUGGGCUCUUCCAGUGCUAGCCACCAGUAGCUGUUCUGAAUAUGGGAAUCAUAGAAUCUCGGAAUCAUUUAGGAGCCUUGAAAGAUCGCACUCCUCCAGUCCCAGAAUCCUGGCUUUUGUUUGUUUUGCACAUUCAGCCUAAAACUUCAUGUCAUGAUACUGUGUGUAAUUGGUGGCACUUGUUGAGUUCAGAAUCAGCCCAGAAGUGAGAACCCAGAAAUGUGACUGAAACAUCUCCAUUUUUACACAGAGCUAUGAGAAUCAGCUGCUGCUACAGGAUUUUCUCCACAACUUGCCAAGCUGCAACUCAUUUCUUGCUGUACUCAUCAUGUCCCAGAAAGUCUACAUAGCUCAAGAUUUCAGAAUGAGAGAUUCAUUUUGAACAUGACAUGAAAUAUAACCAGAAUUUCAGCUUGCUGUCCCAUAUGCCACAUCAUUUAUCACUCUCUCUUCAUAAAUUGGUGGUUAGACA